CUCAGUUCUGGGGGCGAACUAAGAAGCAGAUAUUCUCUCGCAUUUUUUCAAUGAUGAACUCCUUUCAGCAUUCUGUCAAUCAAUGAAGUGGCGAAAGUGGAGAUGGAAAAACUGAGACAGCUAAAAUUGCAAUGCAAUACUUGAUUGCUCUUGGUGGUGGCAGUUAUGGGAUAGAGUCUAAAAUCCUUUGGACAAAUUAUAUACUGGAAGCAUUUGGGAAUGCAAAAACCUCAAGGAAUGACAACUCUACCUGAUUAGGAAGUUGAUUGAUAUUCAUUUUACUUCACUGGGGAAGAUAUGUGGUACUAAAAUCCAAACCUGCUACGAGAAAAACUACAGAGAUGGCUACAAAUAAAGCUGCCACUGCUGCUAGAGUUGCUUUUGUCAAAAUUGUUUAGAUUCAGAUGGAUGGGAAAUUUUUCAAUCCAAAUAGCUAAGAGAUUGACUUUGUUUGAUUUUGUUAAUUUUACUAAUUUUCCUAUUUUAAUGAUGUCAACCCAGUGAGCAAAAAGCUCAUUGGGGGGUGAGAGAGGGAGAAAGCGAUUAUGUUUAAGGUUUUG